AUCUAACUGAUGAGUCCCAAAUAGGACAAAUUCCGCGUCUUGGAU
rnacentral:hammerhead_ribozyme from 1 species